AGGACGAACGCUGGCGGCGUGCCUAAUACAUGCAAGUCGAACGCUUUUUCUUUCACCGGAGCUUGCUCCACCGAAAGAAAAGGAGUGGCGAACGGGUGAGUAACACGUGGGUAACCUGCCCAUCAGAAGGGGAUAACACUUGGAAACAGGUGCUAAUACCGUAUAACAAUCGAAACCGCAUGGUUUCGGUUUGAAAGGCGCUUUUGCGUCACUGAUGGAUGGACCCGCGGUGCAUUAGCUAGUUGGUGAGGUAACGGCUCACCAAGGCAACGAUGCAUAGCCGACCUGAGAGGGUGAUCGGCCACAUUGGGACUGAGACACGGCCCAAACUCCUACGGGAGGCAGCAGUAGGGAAUCUUCGGCAAUGGACGCAAGUCUGACCGAGCAACGCCGCGUGAGUGAAGAAGGUUUUCGGAUCGUA
rnacentral:rRNA from 1 species